CCUACGGGCGGCAGCAGUGGGGAAUAUUGGACAAUGGGCGAAAGCCUGAUCCAGCCAUGCCGCGUGUGUGAAGAAGGCCUUCGGGUUGUAAAGCACUUUCAGUGGGGAAGAAAGCCUUGGGGCUAAUACCCUCGAGGAAGGACAUCACCCACAGAAGAAGCACCGGCUAACUCCGUGCCAGCAGCCGCGGUAAUACGGAGGGGGCGAGCGUUUAUCGGAAUUACUGGGCGUAAAGCGCGCGUAGGCGGUCUGAUAAGCCGGUUGUGAAAGCCCCGGGCUCAACCUGGGAACGGCAUCCGGAACUGUCAGGCUAGAGUGCAGGAGAGGAAGGUAGAAUUCCCGGUGUAGCGGUGAAAUGCGUAGAGAUCGGGAGGAAUACCAGUGGCGAAGGCGGCCUUCUGGACUGACACUGACGCUGAGGUGCGAAAGCGUGGGUAGCAAACAGGAUUAGAUACCCGGGUAGUC
rnacentral:rRNA from 1 species